GUACUGAUAGGUGCCCGAUGGUGGCAGCAACUGCGCCUGUUGGUGUGCCUGUUGCUGUUGUUGUUGAACAGAAGCAGCAGCAGCGUUGCCGUGUGAUUGAUGGUGUUGCUGCUGCUGUGCCGCUGCCGCCGAACUCACACAGGAACCCGUCUUGCCUCGUGAACUGCGUCGCAGGGACGAGUGCUGUUGCUGCUGCUGCUGUUGCUGCUGAUUGUAGCUCUGUUGCUGUGGCGGUGGCACAAAUGUGGCUGCUGUCGCUGUUGCUGUGGCUCCUCCACCACCCGUGUACCGAGUCAACUGUGGUG
rnacentral:sRNA from 1 species